UCUCUAGAUGAUGAAGAGCUGGUGGCACAUAUUUGUAAUGGACUUGAUGCCGAGUACAAUUCUGUGGUGACAUCGAUCACUGCCAGGACAGAUUCCAUCUCAAUUUCUGAGUUUUAUGCCCAAUUACUCAGUUUUGAGA
rnacentral:snoRNA from 1 species